AUGACUCUCGGCAACGGAUAUCUCGGCUCUCGCAUCGAUGAAGAACGUAGCGAAAUGCGAUACUUGGUGUGAAUUGCAGAAUCCCGUGAACCAUCGAGUCUUUGAACGCAAGUUGCGCCCGAAGCCAUUAGGUUGAGGGCACGUCUGCCUGGGUGUCACGC
rnacentral:rRNA from 1 species